GCUCAAUCUUCUCAAUAUAACACUACAGCCGG
rnacentral:piRNA from 1 species